rnacentral:lncRNA from 1 species
CUGUAGACUAGUGACUUUCAGUCUUUCCUCACUCAUAGCAGACUGCUCUUGCUCCUGUGAGUAAUCCCUAAGGAAGUCAUAGCCCUGAUAAGCCAUGCGGGGGGAUUUGGGCAUCCUUGGAUUUUGACAUCUGAAGAGGGGUCCUGGGACCAAUCUCUCAUGGCCAUCAAGGGACAACUGUACUGCUAAAAAUUUUAUAUGCACCUUAUUUAAUUCUGAAACAGUUCUAUGAGAAAAACCUUUAAGAAGAUCUUGGAAGUCCAAAAUAUGAAAAAGAACUGCUUUGAUUGCAAUAGAGGGUCAGGCAUGGUGACUGAUGCUUGUAAUUUCAGCACUUUGGAAGGCUAAUGUAGGAGGAUCACUUGAGCUCAGGAGUUUGAGAUCAGCCUGAGCAACACAGCGAGACCCAUCUCUACAAACAAUUAAAAAAUUAGCUGGAUGUGAUGGUGCACGCCUGUGGUCCCAGCUACUCAGGAAGCUGAGGCAGGAUGAUUGCUUGAGUCUGGAAGGUGAAGGCUGCCGUGACCUGUGAUCACACCACUGCACUCCAGCCUGGGCAAAAGAAGAAGGCUC